UUGACGGAAUCUGCCUGAACCGGGUGUGU
rnacentral:piRNA from 1 species